rnacentral:rRNA from 1 species
CCCCUAGAUGUUCUGGGCCGCACGCGCGCUACACUGAACAGUUCAACAAGUCUUAACCUUGGCCGAUAGGUCUGGGUAAUCUUUGAACGCUGUUCGUGAUUGGGAUAGACCUUUGCAAUUAUGGGUCUUCAACGAGGAAUUCCUAGUAAACGCAAGUCAUCAGCUUGCAUUGAUUACGUCCCUGCCCUUUGUACACACCGCCCGUCGCUCCUACCGAUUGAAUGGUCCGGUGAAAUGUUCGGAUCGCGGCAAAUCGGACGGGUAACCGUCAGGUUCGCUGCGAGAAGUUCAUUAAACCUUAUCAUUUAGAGGAAGGAGAAGUCGUAACA